AGGGUUCAUAACUGUUUUCUUCCCUUUAUGGUUACCAGUUCACGCAGAUGGCCCUAUUAGUACUUUUUUACAAAUGGUUUAAUUGUUGGCUUAUUCGCUAUACUUGGACACGUUUAUCCU
rnacentral:sRNA from 1 species